rnacentral:rRNA from 1 species
UACGUAGGGUGCGAGCGUUAAUCGGAAUUACUGGGCGUAAAGGGUGCGCAGGCGGCGUUGCAAGUCAGGCGUGAAAUCCCCGGGCUUAACCUGGGAACUGCACUUGAAACUACGAUGCUGGAGUAUGGCAGAGGGAGGUGGAAUUCCACGUGUAGCGGUGAAAUGCGUAGAGAUGUGGAGGAACACCGAUGGCGAAGGCAGCCUCCUGGGCCAAUACUGACGCUCAUGCACGAAAGCGUGGGGAGCAAACAGG